rnacentral:rRNA from 1 species
AGAGUUUGAUCAUGGCUCAGGAUGAACGCUGGCGGCGUGCUUAACACAUGCAAGUCGAACGAUGAAGCCCAGCUUGCUGGGUGGAUUAGUGGCGAACGGGUGAGUAACACGUGAGUAACCUGCCCUUAACUCUGGGAUAAGCCUGGGAAACUAGGUCUAAUACCGGAUAGGAGCGCCUACCGCAUGGUGGGUGUUGGAAAGAUUUAUCGGUUUUGGAUGGACUCGCGGCCUAUCAGCUUGUUGGUGAGGUAAUGGCUCACCAAGGCGACGACGGGUAGCCGGCCUGAGAGGGUGACCGGCCACACUGGGACUGAGACACGGCCCAGACUCCUACGGGAGGCAGCAGUGGGGAAUAUUGCACAAUGGGCGCAAGCCUGAUGCAGCGACGCCGCGUGAGGGAUGACGGCCUUCGGGUUGUAAACCUCUUUCAGUAGGGAAGAAGCGAAAGUGACGGUACCUGCAGAAGAAGCACCGGCUAACUACGUGCCAGCAGCCGCGGUAAUAC